rnacentral:lncRNA from 1 species
CCAAUACAAGUCCAAUUACAUAAAUAGAAUCUAAAACAUAAAUAAAGUCCAAUUAAAAAUAAACAAAAAUGAUGUCCUCAUCAACGCCUCACACCACUCACUGCCAUACAUUUAAUGCAUUGACAACAACUCAGUCGCCCUACACCCUAAGUUGACAAUUUUGACAUUCAUCAAUCCUAAAGAUACUAUGCAGAAGAGGGCUUCAAAUGGGGGCAAUUCGGCUGGAGAGAGCUUCGAAUGGAGAUAGUUCUUCGAUAGAGAAUAGUUUGUGAUGAAGAGAUAGUGCUUCAGCCAUUAACUUCUUUAUGUUGACCAAUUAGGUCUUUGUUGGCUGUCAAAUAUCUCCAUGUGACUUUCACUAGGAGCUUCAGGUUACGAGGCGUAACAGUAUCUGUAAAGAAGAAGGUGUAAUUAGUAGAAAUCCCAUUUUCCACAGCCUUCAGCUAAGCAUCCAAUUCUGGUUUCUGCA